GAGGCUUGAGGUAAAACUAGGAGAGAAGGAAGGUUUCUCUCCACUUCUCCAGUCUCUCCUCCACCACCAGUGUGUUCUCUCCAGUCUCUCAACGGCUUCUCUCCACAAUCAUGGCUCGUCUUAAGAUACAUGUCAUUUAUUGUGGUGCCUGAGGUUACGGGCCAAAGUACCGCCAACUGAAGGAACAUUUAGAGGCGGACUUUCCUGAUAAACUUGAAUUUAGCUAUGAGGCCACCCCUAAUUCCACUGGCUUCCUUGAGGUCAUAGUGGAUGGCAAGCUGGUCCACUCCAAAAAGAAUGGCGAUGGAUACGUGGAUACAGAAAAAAAAUACAACAAAAUAUCUGAUGCUGUUAGCGAUGCCUUGGACGCCGCAGACAGCCAGUGACCUUGAACCUGCUGUGACCUCACCCUGACCUCCUCUCUCUCUUCUCUGGUUCGCCCCGCCCUGCCCCGCUGCCCCGGAGAUGAAGCUGCUGCCCCAAAGCCCCUAGAGGACCGGUAGUGGUGGAAGGAGCCGGGGGGAGAGGGAGGUGGCGGGGCGGGGCAUGGGGAGAACGGGGGAGCGGCCAGUGGGGGGGUAUGGGGGUGUUCAAGGACAGCAGCGUGGGGGGGGGAGCGGGGGAGGGUAAGGAUUUAUUUAUUUAUUUAUUUAUUUAUUUGUUUGUUUGUUUUAUUUAUUUAUUUUUUUUAUAUUAUGAUUUUUUUUUUUGUUGUGGGUUGGGAAUCUCUCUCUCUCUCUCUCUCUCUCUCUCUCUCUCUCUCUCUCUCUCUCUCUCUCUUGCUCUCUGUCAUCUUAAUCAUUCUCUCUCUUCUUCCUUCUUCUUCCUGUCCUUAAUUAACUUCCUCCUCUUCCUUCCUUCCUUCCUUCUACAUUCUUCCUAACAUUAACAUAUUCCUCAUCUCUUCUCCUCCUCUUCCUCUUCCUUAUCAUCAUAUAAAAAAAAAAAAAACUCAGGAGAACUUUAAUGUAACUCUUUCUUCAGCAGUGACUCAGCAUAUCUCUUAGCCAAUACGGGGUUAACAGGACUCAGUAGGAUCAGCAUUCAUUAUAUUCAUUGUAGUUGUCUGAGUCUUGCUUCAUAUUGUCAUUGUUAUCGUUUGUGUUCGAGAAUAAUAGAUCGUUUCUUGACUCUUCGUUUUCUUUGUCCGUUUGUUAUCGUAUUUUUGUAGUUUAUUUAUUCAUGUUUAUUUUGUUUCUUGUGUUUAUUUGUGUGAAUUUUCUGUCUGUAUUAUUAUUAUUAUUAUUAUUAUUAUUAUUGUUAAUGUUUUGUUCUCACUCCCAAUGUACUAUUUUGAAAAAACCUGUAUUGUCGUACCAGAAAAACAAACAAACAAACAAAAACAAACGAUAUUAUCACUAGCUUUAUCAUUACCUAUUAUUAUCAUUAUUUAUUAUUAUUAUAGCACUGGUACAAACUAUAAAAAAAAACACCACUAGUUAUUUAAUAAAGAGUCGAAUCAGA